UUCACUAGUCGAACUAACACAGCUUCCAACGCAGCAGCAUUAGAACUAAGCAAGCGACACUUCAGCUGAGAGAUCCUCUGAGGAGCUUGCUAUUGCAGCCAGUAAACUUCUAGAAAGACUUACUGAGCAUAGAGAAGAGAGGAAAAAAACAGCCAGCAGACACUAAGUUUCUACCUGCCACCACUCCUUCCUUCACCCUUGUUUAGGGUGAAGGAAAAGGGAGGUUUAUGCCAGCGAGCCCAGAAACCCCAAGACCGGAGAAGGCCAGAGCGAGCUGCCAGGAGCUCAGGGGUGAACCGAAGCGCAGGUGGUACCUGAGGUAUUUAAGCAGCACCCAUUGCUUUGAGAAAAAUUCGUAUCGCCAGCUCUCCUCUGUUGAGUGGAGCCCUGAUGGAGACGAUCCUGUCAGCCAGCGACUAAUCGAGCCGAGCUGCCGCUGGCCAAGCUGCUGCUCAGUGUGGCCUGGCCUGGUGCGCCCAGCGCCAUUGCUCACCAAAUGGUCACCCGGGGCUGUUAGGGCAGGGUGUGAGGGGAAAGGGAGCAGUUGUCCCACUGCCAGCCCCGAGCUUGAUGGCUUUUUAGCUUCCAGAUAGGGCUGAAGGGUCAAAGAGCUGUUAGAAACAGGACUCUCAUCUCUUUUGAAACUAAUUGUAUGCUACUUUCUCAAAUGCUUUUUCUAAACCUCUGGAAAUGACCCUCCCAGUUCUCUUCCUACUAUGAUAGCAGUAACAUGACUAACAUGUACAGCAAGUUUCAGGAGAAAGAUGCACUUUUUUUUUUUCCAGAAGUGCCUGUAUAGUGUUGAUUCCUGUCAUGCUUUGAUAAAAGCAUCACCUGUGUCUGCCCCUCUUGCAGUGCUGCAUUUCUGUUUUUUUUUCUUUCCAGUCCUGUCUUCCUUUAGGGGUUGAAAAUGCCUCAGUUAACUGUGGGAAAUGUACAACCUGUUAUAUUUUUCUGACAUCAAAUCUUUCCUUCAUAUACUUCUCAAAGAGGCUCUGUAGCAACAGCCACAAUAGCACCAACAAACUGCAGCUGCCUGAGACAGCAACAGGGUGCAGAUUUAGCUUCCUGCCUGCUCUGCUGUCUCCAAGAGCUGCUUGGACUUCUCACGCCUAAUAAAGGCCUUGGUUUUGUUACAGAUUUGUAAAGAAUAGACUGGAAAUCAAGCAAUGAGGAGGAACCUCGUGGCAGCUCUGUGUUUCCCCUCAACACCGUGGAUCCAGGCUGGUUGAAUCGGCUCGUCAGGAUCCCUACAACAGAGCUCCCGGGGCGUGCUUCAGGCUUAUUGUUGCAUCGCUUUGAACUUGACCGAGG